UCCUAGUGGUCCGAAUUUUACCUUCUAAGUCCAAGGCCACUAAAGCUAAACCACCGUCCCUAUUUAAUUGUAAACACUUGGAGGCUGUGAUUAUGUGAUUUCUAGGUGUUUUUGAAAACCAGAAACAGAUGGACUAAUCCAAGCUCCUCAGAGCAGACGGCGUCUCAAGCUCCCUGCGUUGAGGAACGGAGCUCCCCUGCAGAGAGCUGCAGCCGUGGAAUAAUUGACUCUAGCUCUGCCGCAGAAAGAACACCCUGAGAAGUUUAAAUCAUUAGCCUUUCCACUGGCCCCAUGGUCAACAACUGAUGGGAAGAUGUGUCCUCGUCUGAUCCUUGGGGUCACAAGCAUCACCCAGCUGCCAGACGCUGGGUAUCAUGAUGAAGCUUCGAGAGGAGAUGCUGUGAACCCUGAUGAGACAAGUUAAAGCAGGGAUUGGGGGGAUGAGCUGUCUUAGGAUGGGUUAUUCGCCAAAAGACCUGAGGCACUGGGAGGCAUGAAAGUGAGAAGUAUUCCUGGGAAAAAUGGAUGAGGAGGUGGAGAAAGGGACCAGGAAGAGAAGGAGGCAUCCCAAGGGAGAAAUAUCAACCAAAGUCUCCCUCGGAGCCUGGCUCAACCCUGCAGGGAUGCUCUGGGGUCAGUGGAGGUCACAUCUCAGGAACGUCCUGAUCAGGCCCUGGGGCACCCAAAAGAGUCAUUGAUGAAAGGCUGCCCUCUGGGAACACACAUUCCAGGCACUUUACCUCCGAGAUGUGCCAGUGGGUUUUGGCAGGUGACAAAAAGAUGCAGCUACUGCUCUAUUUGGGGGGUGAAAGCGCAUAGAGAAUCUGUGUGCACAAGAAUGGUAAAGGCAGAGGCGGUAAGGCCGCCUCCUCUUCUUGUUUACUGAGUAGAAUGGUAAGAUCUCUGCCUCCCACACGAUAUAUUAUAGCACUGUGAACAAAUGACCCAUCUCCUAAGUGAAAGGAUUCGGUACAUUUUGUUUCUUCUGAAAAUCUUGGUGGAGGCAGCCAGGACUUUAUGAUAAAAGGGCCUGAAGACUUCCACCCAGGAAAACGACCAUGGUUCCUAGAUAAAGCCACCACUGCUUUCUGUAACUGCAGAGUGGCCCCUGUUGAGAGGGAGUCCCGUGUUCGGGCCUGUAAGCCUAAGUGUCUUGAUUUCCAUGCCACUCAGUCCAUUAGCAAAGGAC
ensembl:lncRNA